rnacentral:lncRNA from 10 species
UCAUGCUUUAAUGCUCUUAUUUUCUUUCUAACUUUUAUUUUAGGUUCAAGGAAGACAUGUACAGGUUUGUUAUAUGGGCAAAUUAUGUGUCCCAGGGUUUGGUGUACAGAUAAUUUUGGCCUCCAGAAUAUCACCAGUGGGAAUCUACUGUGGAAAAUUGAGUACAACACUAUCAUCAUAUGAUUUGUUUUGCUCAUAUUUGGCUGUGCCAUUGGCUGCGGAGCCAGGCAGCGAACUCCACACAAUGAGGAGCCUGUGAAAACGCAGAGAAGGCAAGAAAGGAUGCAAACAUUUAGGCAGCAUCUGAUGGUAGCUGGCUUGUGGUUUACCUGGCCUUUGGUUAGAUAACUGUGCCUGAUCCCUAUGGCCAGGAAGGAAGGAGCUGAAGAAUUCACAUUUGGGCUGAUGGGCCUGGGGUAGGGAUGACCAACAGACCACAUGCUUCUUGUCUCUUCUACUCCCUGAUCCUCUGAUAGACAGGGCUAAGUGAUCAUCCACUCCUUCCACCCUCCAGCCUCCGAGUGGGCCACUUUUCAAGCAUGGAAUUCCAGGUUCUGCACCCUCGGAUUCAACCAACCAAGGAUUGAAACUAUUUGAAGGAAAAGAACAAUAAUAAUACAAAUAAAAGCCAAUAACAAUAUAACAACUAUUUAUGUAGCAUUUACAUUGUAUUAGAUAUUAUAAAUAAUCUAGAGAUGAUUUAACGCACAUGAGAGCAUAUGCAUAGGUUAUAUGCAAAUAGUAUGUCAUUUUAUAUAAGGGAGUUGAGCAUCCACAGAUUUGGGUUUCUGCAGGGAGCCCUGGAAUCCUGUGGAUACCGAGGGACGAUUGUACAUUUUGAGAACCGAAGCCCGGUGCUACCCUGUUGCAGCGAUGAAGUAUCCAGGUCACCUGGAGAAAGCUGACAUAAGAGCAGGCACACAGCAGGAAGCUUUGAUCCUCAUCUUCUCUCUGGCUGCAGCCCUCAGCUCUUGUGCACCAACUCUGACCAAUGACUAGGACUGGCUGCUCGGAGUACAGCUGUAUUGAGAAAGAUUCUGAGGCUGGGUCUGCAUUCAGCAGGAAAAAAAAUGAAGAGGUGUAACACUAUGGACGAGUGGGCAACUGGCUCUUCAGGCUUGGAACCAAGAGGGGGCAGCAGAGAGCAGAGAAGAAUUGGUUGGCUUGGGCUGACCCAGACCUAGGAAAACUUCCAAUCUUCUUCUUCUUCCCUCAAAACCGAAUCCUUGUGGACUCACUCUUGAGACUAUUGUCCACACAAGUGGUGUGGUCCAAGGCCACAGCAAGAAAGGUCUGAGGGAGUUCUUUGGGGUUCAGGUGGAGAAAAGCCUGUGCUGGAUGCCAGGCUGCUCUGAGAACAGGAAGGAAGAUAAUAAUGUUAACAGCAACAGUUACAAUUACCCAGCCCCUGUAGGGUGCCAGGCCCUCUGCCAAGGUGCUUUCUUUUCAUUCUCUCAAAGACUACUUGAGGUGGGGAAACCCCCAGUUUACAGAUGAGAAAACAGGGUCCCAGAGUGGUUAAAUACCUUGCCCAUGAUCACGUGACUAAGGGAGGGCCAAGCCACAUUUUAGACUCUUGCCUGUCCUGCCCUCUGUGUUAUGGUGCCCUUCCAGGAAGGAGGCAGAAAGGUGCACCUGGAGUUAGAAUAUCCUUGGGGAGUGUCCCGGACCCAAGGGAAGGCAAACGGUCCUUCUGGUACAGACUGCUGUCUCCUGAUGGCCACGGGUCUCCUGACAGAUUUAGCCAAUUCACUGGCUCACAGGUCCAUGCACCAUCCUCAGCAGAGCCGGGGUAAGGUAGCUGGGCUCGAACAGCCCCAGAAAAAGGCAAAAAGAAAGAUAACAGAAACUUGUAUGGAACUUUCAAGUACUCACUGUGGAAGUCAUUGAUUUAUCUGCCUACUGUGAGAGUUAUGUCACGUUGGAAGGUCACAUUAGAACGCCCCUCACCUCCUGCAGCCUCAGCUCCACCCUGGGCUCAGAGAUCAAUCCUUGCCUUAUUUAGGGAAGCACAUCCAAGCAUAUUUGAAACUUUUGGGAUGGGCUUGGGGAUACUGGCACCAGGGACAUCUUGCUGUCAGUACUGUCCUGAUUCUGAGAACUCCACUAACGCCACAUUCCUCAAUCCAAGCCUGGAUCUGGGACUCAGGCUGCUGCCUCACUAAAUGCCUUAUCUUUUGGGUCACUGCAGACCAGGGCCCUGCCUUCUUUAGCCAAUGUCUGUUUCCCUCAUCUGGCAGUAGGACAUCAGUCUACCAAAAGAGUCACAUGUUCAUAUCCCAGCUUAGGUCCAAGUUGUGAACCAACUUCAUUUCUUAAUGUAAUCACUUUUUUGGUAUUGCUUUUUUUCUCUAAAAAGUAUGUAUAUUUUCUGAUCCUACAUGUAAUAUUUUCUGGGCCAGUUGCAGUGGCACACACCUGAGCUACUCAAGGAAGCUGAGGCGGGAGGAUCCCUUGAGCCCAGGAGUUUGAGGUUACAGUGAACUAUGAUUGCGUCACUGUACUCCAGCCUAGACAGCUAGCAAGACCCCAUCUCUUAAAAAAAAUUGUUAGAAAAUACUUUAAAGCAUCAAGGAGAAAAAAAUUUCUCCUAUCUUUCUGGAUACAUUUUUCUCAACUGCGCUUAUUACUAUCUAACACCGUCCUUUACUUAGGUUUUCAUUGUUUGUCUCCUUCUCUAGAAUGGGAGCUUGACAACAUGAGGGAUUUCAUGUUUUGUUCACUGCAAGUUCCUUAAUUCCCAGAACAAUACCUGGCACAUUUACAGAAUGAAUGAAUUAAUUCAUAAUGCCAUGACAUCAGAUAUAAUUUUAUUUAAUAUUAUAGAGGGAACAUUUUUCAAUGUCAAUAAAAUUUUUUCAAAAGCAUCAUUUUAAAUGGCUGAUAAUAAUCUAGGGUAUGGACAUCUAAGCAUGUGUUAAGUAUGCCUGCAGUUUUGGAUACUGAAAGAUUACACAGAUUAAUUUGAUUCCCCAUUUAUCAAGCUACAGCAGGGCCAGGCUCACUUUGUUGUUUGGUUUCUUAGUUUCUUGUUCCUGGUCGAAUGAACAGAUGAGACUGGUGAAUUAUGGAGAAUUUCUGUCACUGCCCUCUCUAGCCUUGGCAUAGCACUGUGGCUCCUCUCUCCAAAUUUCUAGGUGAUCCAGCCGGCUGGGCUCUAUGUACUGAAGCAUAGGCUGCCCAGCGUAAGCAGAAUUGCUAACAGGAUACUAUUAUGGUACCCACCUGUGUGGCCUUGUGGGGGUGGGGGAACUUACCUUUGUUCCUGUCCUCCUCUAGAAAAUCAGUUACAUUUCUCUUGCCUCCCUCCCAAGGAUGAUUUCCAGGGAAGCAAAUUAAAAAGCGGUGAAAAGCCUUUAACAAUUACUCAGAAAUCUAUCAUUUCAUCCUCUUUCACCUCCAGUUCAAGUUUAAGAACA